rnacentral:rRNA from 1 species
ACGAAGGGGGCUAGCGUUGCUCGGAAUCACUGGGCGUAAAGCGCACGUAGUCGGCUUUCUAAGUCAGGGGUGAAAUCCUGGAGCUCAACUCCAGAACUGCCUUUGAUACUGGAGAGCUUGAGUUCGAGAGAGGUGAGUGGAACUGCGAGUGUAGAGGUGAAAUUCGUAGAUAUUCGCAAGAACACCAGUGGCGAAGGCGGCUCACUGGCUCGAUACUGACGCUGAGGUGCGAAAGCGUGGGGAGCAAACAGGA